rnacentral:rRNA from 1 species
UACGAAGGGGGCUAGCGUUGUUCGGAAUUACUGGGCGUAAAGCGCACGUAGGCGGACUAUUAAGUCAGGGGUGAAAUCCUGGAGCUCAACUCCAGAACUGCCUUUGAUACUGAUGGUCUCGAGUCCGGAAGAGGUGAGUGGAAUUCCGAGUGUAGAGGUGAAAUUCGUAGAUAUUCGGAAGAACACCAGUGGCGAAGGCGACUCGCUGGACAGGUAUUGACGCUGAGGUGCGAAAGCGUGGGGAGCAAACAGG